rnacentral:rRNA from 1 species
UACGUAGGGUCCGAGCGUUGUCCGGAAUUAUUGGGCGUAAAGAGCGUGUAGGCGGCUUGGUAGGUCUUGCGUCAAAACCUGAGGCUCAACCUCAGUUCGCGUGGGAAACCAUCUAGCUAGAGUCCGGAAGAGGAGAACGGAAUUCCCAGUGUAGCGGUGAAAUGCGCAGAUAUCAGGAGGAACACCAAUGGCGAAGGCAGCUCGCUGGGACGUGACUGACGCUGAGACGCGAAAGCGUGGGGAGCAAACAGG